rnacentral:rRNA from 1 species
GUGAGGAAUAUUGGUCAAUGGUCGGGAGACUGAACCAGCCAAGCCGCGUGAGGGAGGAAGGUACAGAGUAUCGUAAACCUCUUUUGUCAGGGAACAAAGGCGGGGACGUGUCCCCGGAUGAGUGUACCUGAAGAAAAAGCAUCGGCUAACUCCGUGCCAGCAGCCGCGGUAAUACGGAGGAUGCGAGCGUUAUCCGGAUUUAUUGGGUUUAAAGGGUGCGCAGGCGGUCUGUUAAGUCAGCGGUCAAAGCCCGGGGCUCAACCCCGGCCCGCCGUUGAAACUGGCAGUCUCGAGUUGGAGAGAAGUAUGCGGAAUGCGCGGUGUAGCGGUGAAAUGCAUAGAUAUCGCGCAGAACUCCGAUUGCGAAGGCAGCAUGCCGGCUCCACACUGACGCUGAGGCACGAAAGCGUGGGUAUCGAACAGGAUUAGAUACCCCAGUAGUCC